GAUGAAGAACGUAGCGAAAUGCGAUAAGUAAUGUGAAUUGCAGAAUUCAGUGAAUCAUCGAGUCUUUGAACGCACAUUGCGCCCCCUGGUAUUCCGGGGGGCAUGCCUGUCCGAGCGUCAUUGCUGCCCUCAAGCACGGCUUGUGUGUUGGGCCUCCGUCCUCCUCCCGGGGGACGGGCCCGAAAGGCAGCGGCGGCACCGCGUCCGGACCUCGAGCGUAUGGGGCUUCGUCACCCGCUCUUGUAGGCCCGGCCGGCGCUUGCCGACACAUCAAUCUUUUUUCCAGGUUGACCUCGGAUCAGGUAGGGAUACCCGCUGAACUUAAGCAUAUCAAUAAGCGGAGGA
rnacentral:misc_RNA from 1 species